rnacentral:rRNA from 1 species
GAUGAACGCUGGCGGCGUGCCUAAUACAUGCCAGUCGAGCGAACGGACGAGAAGCUUGCUUCUCUGAUGUUAGCGGCGGACGGGUGAGUACACGUGGAUAACCUACCUAUAAGACUGGGAUAACUUCGGGAAACCGGAGCUAAUACCGGAUGAUAUUUUGAACCGCAUGGUUCAAAAGUGAAAGACGGUCUUGCUGUCACUUAUAGAUGGAUCCGCGCUGCAUUAGCUAGUUGGUAAGGUAACGGCUUACCAAGGCAACGAUGCAUAGCCGACCUGAGAGGGUGAUCGGCCACACUGGAACUGAGACACGGUCCAGACUCCUACGGGAGGCAGCAGUAGGGAAUCUUCCGCAAUGGGCGAAAGCCUGACGGAGCAACGCCGCGUGAGUGAUGAAGGUCUUCGGAUCGUAAAACUCUGUUAUUAGGGAAGAACAUAUGUGUAAGUAACUGUGCACAUCUUGACGGUACCUAAUCAGAAAGCCACGGCUAACUACGUG